GAUGAAGAACGUAGCGAAAUGCGAUAAGUAAUGUGAAUUGCAGAAUUCAGUGAAUCAUCGAAUCUUUGAACGCACAUUGCGCCCGCCAGUAUUCUGGCGGGCAUGCCUGUUCGAGCGUCAUUACAACCCUCAGGCCCCCGGGCCUGGCGUUGGGGAUCGGCGGAGCCCCCCGUGGGCACACGCCGUCCCCCAAAUACAGUGGCGGUCCCGCCGCAGCUUCCAUCGCGUAGUAGCUAACACCUCGCGACUGGAGAGCGGCGCGGCCACGCCGUAAAACACCCAACUCUUCUGAAGUUGACCUCGAAUCAGGUGGGAAUACCCGCUGAACUUAAGCAUAUCAAUAAGCGGAGGA
rnacentral:misc_RNA from 1 species